UUUGAGGUCUAUCCCGAUGGGACCUCUCAUAGGUCCACGUCGUUGGAAACGCCUCAGAGAAAAAAGUUGUGGUCUCGCUUUACCUACCGAACUGUGUGUUGGAUCGGUGGGGGAAAAGCCACAAGACAGUU
rnacentral:snoRNA from 13 species